rnacentral:tRNA from 1 species
GCCCCCUUGGUGGAAUGGUAGACACGGCAGACUCAAAAUCUGUAUUUUGUUGGUUCAAGUCCGACAGGGGGCACCU